rnacentral:rRNA from 1 species
GACGAACGCUGGCGGCGUGCUUAACACAUGCAAGUCGAACGGAAAGGCCCUGCUUUUGUGUGGUGCUCGAGUGGCGAACGUGUGAGUAACACGUGAGUAACCUGCCCUUGACUUUGGGAUAACUUCAGGAAACUGGGGCUAAUACCGGCUAGGAGCUCCUGCUGCAUGGUGGGGGUUGGAAAGUGUCGGCGGUUGGGGAUGGACUCGCGGCUUAUCAGCUUGUUGGUGGGGUAGUGGCUUACCAAGGCGUUGACGGGUAGCCGGCCUGAGAGGGUGACCGGCCACAUUGGGACUGAGAUACGGCCCAGACUCCUACGGGAGGCAGCAGUGGGGAAUAUUGCACAAUGGGCGGAAGCCUGAUGCAGCAACGCCGCGUGCGGGAUGACGGCCUUCGGGUUGUAAACCGCUUUCGCCUGUGACGAAGCGUGAGUGACGGUAAUGGGUAAAGAAGCACCGGCUAACUACGUG